rnacentral:sRNA from 1 species
GCCGGGCACAGUGGUGCAUGCCUGAAAUCCCAGCGUCCUGGGAGGCUGAGGCAGGAGGAUUGCAAGUUCAAAGCCAGCCGCAGCAACUCAAUGAGAUCUUGUCUCUA